rnacentral:lncRNA from 1 species
CUCUGGGGUUGCGGCGCUCAUCUCGCUUUACUGGCCGAGGGAGCCAGAGUACAGCUUCCGGGUCAUGUGGCCAGCAUGACUAAGCCGCUUCUGGCGAACCAGGGCAGCGCACGGAAAUGGCGUUUACCUUCCCGCCAGAGCGAUACCUAUUUAUCUAGUUGCACUUUGACGUGCUUUCUAACUGCUAGGUGGGCAGGAGCUGGGACCGAGCAAUGGGAGCUCACCCCGUCGUGGGGAUUCGAACCGCCGACCUUCUGAUUGGCAAGUCCUAGCUCUGUGCUUUAACCCACAGUGCCACUCGCGUCCCUUCUACAAGGACUAUAGGAAACUGAGUCAGGCCAAUGGUCUAUUUAGUUCAGAAUUGCUACAAGGACUAUAGGAAACUGCUUUAUACAGAGUCAGACCAAUAGCCUAUUUAGUUCUCCAGGGUUUCAGACUGCGGUCUCUCUCCACCCUACCUGCAGAUGCUGGUGAUUGAAUCUGGGAUGCAGAAGGUUUACCACUGAGCUACAGUUUCCACCUAGCUUCCAUCUAUUUAAAAGAGGCUUCAGCAGGAGACUUUCCCCAUUCACUUCCUUACUUUUAGCAUAGUUUCAAUACACUCUGAGCUGAAUCUGCUCAGAGAAUUAAUGGCUGGUAUCCAGAGAUACUCAAGAGGUAAGUCCAUGAUGUAGCACCACUGCAUUUGAAUGUCUUCUUUCAAAAUUGCAAUAAUUGAUUCAUACUUUUCCCACCCCUAUGUAACAUAUACAAAAUGGAGUCUGCAGAACUUCAGCAGCUGAUCUCCUUUUCCAUGGGCGGGUCUUCAUUUCCACCUAUGGAGAAGUAGAUUUGCAACAUCUUAUGCUCCCUUAUGUCCCAAGGGCCAUGAGAGUCCACCCUGAAAAAUGCUCAUUUAAAUGUGGUAAGUGUGGACCCAUUUAUUCCAAAAAAAGAGCACUGAGCCAGGAAAAUAUUUGCUGCCAACACCCCACCCUCUCCUGCCAUUGGUGUCCCUGGAUCACGGCUGAUGUGCAGGUCACCAGCUGUUUUCGUAUCGGACAUCUAUAUAAGCACUUACAAAACUCAAGCAAACAAACACUUGGGUGGAUGCAUGUUGCAGUUCAGAGAGAGCCUUCUAUAAAUAAGUCGGGGGCUUUGCAGAUUCUGCCCACCCCCUGUGAUUAGAGCCUUCAGCUUUCAAAGCCCCACCAAUAUCCUCCAACCUGUGACACGACUGCUAGAUGAUUCCUACCAGCCCAAGUGGUCUUUACAAUCUCUCUACUGCAAUUCCCUUCACUGCUCGCUGCUCUAAAUGGGGGAGCAACAUGAUUGUGGGGAGCACCAAAGCAGCAGUGUCUUAUCUUCCAGGCAUGGUGUUUCCUUUAUUUUUAUUUUCCCAUCCGGGAACAAUGAAGAAACCCCCAGGAUACUCCAGUGUCUGGCUCCACCGCUGCUCUGCACAUCUGGCUUCGUCCAGCUACAGCAUGUCCAGCUGUGAUGUGCAACAUUCAUCCCCCCCCAGAGAAGCUUCCCUGAUCCUAUCUGUGUUCUUUUAACAUCGCUCAAAAUUCCAGCAGAUGUCCUGGCUGAGCAUCACCUUCCAAGCCUACGUUGGAUUUCACUUGAAAUGAAAGUCAGUUGCAGCUCUAAGCCAGACAUAGGCAAACUCGGCUCUCCAGAUGUUUUGGGACUACAAUUCUCACCAUCCCUGACCACUGGUCCUGUUACCUAGGGAUGAUGGGAGUUGUAGUCCCAAAACAUCUGGAGGGCCGAGUUUGCCUAUGCCUGCUCUAAGCUGUUCAGAAAUAAUUAGGGUUGAAUGAUGGGUGGUGGGUAGCUUCAGAUUGGAUGGGGGGGCUGUGUGUUGAGAUCCCUGCAUUGCAGAGGGUUGGACUAGAUGACCCACAGGGUCCCUUCCAACUCUACAAUUAUAUUAUUCAUCUUCUGGUGUUUUUCAACCUAGCUGCCCUCUUGGUGGUAGCUAUUGGUGGUAGUGCUGGUUAUUGGUUCAUAACAUAAACAUAUGUGUUAAAUUUUGCACUUGAAAUCAGAACUUGGGGCGGCACUCUCUUAAUUUCUUUUAUAUGCUUCAGUCCAGCAUUUUUGUAAGGGGGGGACUUUUGUAAAGGGGUGGUUAAGAAAGCCCAACAGAGACUCCAUCUCCUCAGAGUACUGCGGAAGAACGAUGUCAAUCAACAUUUGAUGAUCUCCUUCUACCGGUCCACAAUAGAAAGUGUCCUAUCAUACAGCAUAUCAGUGUGUGAUACGCUGGUUUGACAUCAUCUGAUAGGAAGUGCCUACAGAGGGUGGUGAAUACAGCAUAAGAUAUUAUGGGUUGUCCCAUGAAUCCUCUGGAUGAAAAAUAGUGGAAGAAUGUUGCCUCAGGAGAGUGAGGAAAAUUCUCAGGGAUGAUUCACACCCUGGCUGGCACUUUCUUGAUCUCCUGCCCUCGGGCAGAAGAUAUAGAAGCAUGAUUAGUCGCACCAACAGGGUAAAGAACAGCUUCUAUCCGUGGGCUGUUAGGCUGCUGAAUGAAAAGAUAACAACAGGGUAACUGACUUUCGGACCAGGGAGAAGAGUCGGUGGAAGAAGAUUGGAAGAAAUUUAAAGACUAUUUACAGAAAUACUGCAAAAUUAAUGAAUGUUAGAAUGAUGUCAGAAUGAAGUUAAGUGGUUUUAGCAGCAAUGUUAUAAAGGUGUAUGUAAAAAUGGAUUGUUAACAGGUGAAAAUCCAAAGUUAUAAUAUAUUAAGUUAAAGGUUUAAGACUAAAACAAAGAGGGAAAGGAAUUGCUGAAUUAACCAAUAGAACUGGAAUACAAAAAGGGAGGUGUGAGAAGGUCAGGGAAGCAAGGUAAUGAAUGUAAGGCAUGGAAAGAUUGAUGUGUUUUUUUUAAGUGUCUUUUAUCUUUUUUCUGUAUUUUGUAUUUUUUUUUCAUUUUUUUUUCUUUCUUUUUUUCUUUUCUUUUUAUUCAUGUAAUUUUUUCUUUGAAACCUUAAUAAAUAUCAUUAAAAAAAAAACCAGGGCAACUGACUUUCGGGUUUGGUGGGUGUGCGUCAGUAAAAAAGGGAAAUUAAGACUAAGAGAGCUGAGUGGGGGGUGCUCGUGUAAUCUCACUGUAUACAAGUUGUACAAGUGACAAUAAAGUAUUUCAAUUUCAAUUUUAUGCACAUCUUCAUUAUCUCUGGUAUACACAGAAUCCCACCAACAUUGUGUUUGCUCAGGUACUGAAAUUCAUACACUGAAAUUAGAGCUGGGUGGAAACAAAAUACACAAUUUGCAUUUAAUAUUGGGGAGUUUGCAAGAAGGCUAUGAAUAAGGGUGAAGGUUUUCCUCAUUCAGAGUGAGAGCUAGUCUUGUUAUACGGCAUAAUCACAAAGCCAGUUCAGAGUGAUGGCAGGGGUAUUUGCCUUCACUCUGAAUUGACUCCAUGACCUCACCAAAUCUGAAUGGCCAUGCAACAUUUUGACAUUAUUACAGCGCAGGUGGCACUGAAACCACUGUUGAGAUGGACAGCCAUGAUAAAGUCAAGAAGGCGAGGAGUUCAUGGCAUGCAUCAAGCACAUUUUUGCUGUGAAAAUGUUUGCUGGUAAAAAAUUGGUGCUACCCAGAUAACGCUAAGGUUUUCCCCUGACAUAAUAAACACACAUUGUGACCACAAGGGGAUGCUUUCAUAUUCACCAUAUGAAAACCAAUGUGGUAAAACUUUAUGGAAAUGACUUCACCUUACCAUUUCAAUUACCUCUUAGAUUACAGUUUUUCCAAGUCCAUUUGAGCUCUAUAUACAUUGUGUUUUGGUCUCCAGUUUCUAAUUUCUUAGACUUGCAUUUUUUAAAAAAUAACAUAACAUUUCUGAGCCAAUGCAGAACCUGUUAUUCUUGGACUGAAGUCUUGUGUUUGGCUAUGUUUUCCUAGGACCAUUUUAUACUCUGUAUUCACAACAGCCCCGUGAGCAAUUAAAAUCCACAAGGAGCCCUGAUGUUCAGCAGAAUGAAAGGUGACCUUUCCCCUUUUGGAAUGUAGCAAUCUCCAACUCGCUUGUGUCUGACUAAAAAACCCAGGCCAAAUUGUCCAAGAAAAGCACCUCUUAAUAUGGAAACUCCCUGUUCGACUGAAAGCAGUUUGAGAUUCUUAGUUCAUUUCCCAUUGAGCUAUAACUCACAUCAUAAAAACCAUAACACACAUUUGUUGCUCCUUUCCCUUUUAUUCUUAAUGGAAGGGAGAAGGAACUCCCGUGAGGUGUAUCACUUUGUUGUUAAAACUGUCCCUGGGACGCAAGCAAUUACAAUCGCACACAUGUGCAAAUCAUGUCAGAUUCAGGGACGUCAGUUUGGGUUUCUCUCUGUUUCUCACUUUUCCAUUGCGGCUUGCCACAUUUCUGCUUCUGCAAGCCCUCACAAAAAAAUAAAAUAAAUCGGCAGAUCUCCUAAUAUAAGCAUGCUUAAGACAAUUUUUUACUAACAAACACAUAAGCAAGCAAUUUCUUCUAAUUAUCCAAUUUCCCCUAAUAUAAUGUGUUAUUGUAUUUCUGUCUCUCUCUCUCUCUCUCUCUCUCUCUCUCUCUCUCUCUCUCUCUCUCUCUUCUCUCUCUCCUGUGUGUGUGUGUAUUUUGUAAACAUUUCUGGGUUGGAGACCCACAUUGCAAAGUAUAAUAUCAGAGGAUAGCUGUGUUUUGGUUCACCUAUCAUUUGAGGAGGUGCACAUUAGGUAAAAGGUAAAGGUAAAGGGACCCCUGACCAUUAGGUCCAGUCGUGGCCGACUCUGGGGUUGCGGCGCUCAUCUCGCUUUAUUGGCCGAGGGAGCCGGCGUGCAGCUUCCAGGUCAUGUGGCCAGCAUGACUAAGCCGCUUCUGGCAAACCAGAGCAGCGCACGGAAACGCCGUUUACCUUCCCGCCGGAGUGGUACCUAUUUAUCUACUUGCACUUUGAUGUGCUUUCAAACUGCUAGGUUGGCAGGAGC